rnacentral:misc_RNA from 1 species
GAUGAAGAACGUAGCGAAAUGCGAUACGUAAUGUGAAUUGCAGAAUUCAGUGAAUCAUCGAAUCUUUGAACGCAUAUUGCGCUCUCUGGUAUUCCGGAGAGCAUGCUUGUUUGAGUAUCAGUAAACACCUCAACUUCCAUAUCUUUUUUGAAAUGGGAGUUGGACUUGAGUGAUCCCAACGCUUUUCCUCACCGAAAAGUGGCGGGUUACUUGAAAUGCAGGUGCAGCUGGACUUUUCUCUGAGCUAUAAGCAUAUCUAUUUAGUCUGCCUAAAAAACAGAUUAUUACCUUUGCUGCAGCUAACAUAAAGGAGAUUAGUUCUUGUGCUGACUGAUGCAGGAUUCACAAAGACGGCUUCGGCCGACUUUGUAAACUCGAUCUCAAAUCAAGUAAGACUACCCGCUGAACUUAAGCAUAUCAAUAAGCGAGGA